UUCUGGAUCCUCCCUGUGCUCUCAGAUUUGCUUCCAUUUGCAUUGCCCAGCUGGAGAUAAGGUUAAAAAGAAGACUUAUACUUGGUGUGGUGUAGUGCCAUCGUGUGGAUCCAGGAUGGGUGGAGGCAGAAAACUGGCUUGAAAGACAGAAGCAGGUGUGGGGUGCACUGUGCCUGAGAUUUCAUAUGAGUGAGUCUGCUUGAUGACUAGUACAU